rnacentral:rRNA from 1 species
UACGUAGGGUGCGAGCGUUAAUCGGAAUUACUGGGCGUAAAGCGUGCGCAGGCGGUUCGUUAAGUCAGAUGUGAAAGCCCCGGGCUCAACCUGGGAACUGCAUUUGUGACUGCAUAGCUAGAGUACGGUAGAGGGGGAUGGAAUUCCGCGUGUAGCAGUGAAAUGCGUAGAUAUGCGGAGGAACACCGAUGGCGAAGGCAAUCCCCUGGACCUGUACUGACGCUCAUGCACGAAAGCGUGGGGAGCAAACAGG